rnacentral:lncRNA from 1 species
CUCCUUUUGAGUUGCGUUCGUUGGAGGAGUCUUCUUGUUCUUUUGGGAUCUUCUACGAGCCAUCACUUCGAGUUGUUAGACUCAAGAUGAAGUGCCUAGCUCUGAUACCAAUUGAAAGUCGCCUAGAGGGGGGGGUGAAUAGGCGGAACCUGAAAAUUAAAACUUUAUCCCCCAACUAGAUCCCUUGAUUAGUGGUUAGAACAAGAUAUACAAAUAUCGGAGAAUAGAAACUAAGUUCUUGCUUGAAAGGAGUAUUGCUAAAUAAUGCGGGAGAGAUAAAUCAAUACAACUAAUAAGUUAUAGAAUAACAAGGCAAGAACCCUUAGAUGAGAAGAGCACUAGAACAAGUUCUUUCUUGCAACGUGUUGCUUCACUAAAUGGAAAUUUAACUUGAAGCAAUACCAAAUGAGAUUAGCAAAUAAUGGUGCAAGAAAACUUAGAGCAAGGGAAAGCAAACAAAUCACAAGCAAUAAACACAAUGGACACGGGUGAUUUGUUUUACCGAGGUUCGGCCCUCGAAGGCCUAGUCCCCGUUGAGGAGUCCACUUAAGGACGGGUCUUUUUCAACCCUUUCCCUCUCUCCCGAUCACACAAGGAUCGGCGAGCUCUUCUUCUUCUCAAGGAUCACUCUCGAUCCCACAAGGACCACCACAAUCUUUGGUGUCUCUUGCUAGCUUUUACAAGCCUCCAACACUUUGGAGGAAGUUCGAAUGGGAGUCAAAAACUCCACGCGCAAAUGAACACAAAGAUGUAGCACACACUAUCUUCUCAAUGAAUCUCACAAGGCGCUAGGGCUAAACUCAAUUGAGUAGCUCUCAAUUGCUUGCUCUCUCUUUUGUGGCACUUGUGUUGGUUGUAGUGGACUAAAUCUUGUGUAUAGGAUGGAUCAAUGAAUAUAUGUGGUUGGGAGGGCUUGAGUAUGUCAACUUGAUGACUUGGAAUGUUGCUUGGGCUCCCACCUCUUGAAGUGGCCGGUUGGGGUGGUAUUUAUAGCCACCAUCCAAUUUUGUAGCCGUUGGAGAAGCUGCUGGCGAUGGGCGCACCGGACAGUCCGGUGCACACCGGACAUGUCCGGUGCCCCUGCCACGUCACCCUAUCCGUUGGGGAUGGAGCUGGUCGACCGUUGGAGGCUUUUGUCCUCAUGUGGCACCGGACAGUCCGGUGCACACCGGACAGUCCGGUGCCUCUCUGAUCCUCUGCUCCGACUUCUGCCGAGUGUACUGUUCUGCACUGUAUACCGUCAGAGUCGACCGUUGGCGCGAAGAUGACCGUUGCUCCGCUAGCACACCGGACAGUCCGGUGCACACCGGACAGUCCGGUGAAUUUUAGCGGAGCAGUCUUCGUGAAAUCCCGAGGCUGCCGAGUUCCUGAGGCCGCGUUCCGUUGGAGCACCGGACACUGUCCGGUGUACACCGGACAGUCCGGUGAAUUAUAGCGCGCCGGCUUCCGAGAAUUCCCGAGAAUGAAGAGUUGGAGUCAGCGUUCCCUGGUGCACCGGACAGGUACUGUUCACUGUCCGGUGGCACACCGGACAGUCCGGUGCGCCAGACCAGGGGUGCCCUCGGUUGCCCCUUUGCUCCUUUAUUUUGACUCUUGUCUUGUUCUUUUUAUUGGUUUUAUGUUGAAUCUUUGGCACCUGUAGAACAUAUAAUCUAGAGCAAACUAAUUAGUCCAAUUGUUUGUGUUGGACAUUCAAUCACCAAAAUCAUUUAGGAAAAGGUUUAAAGCCUAUUUCCCUUUCACUAUUUUAGUGUAUUAUCUCUGAGUGAUGUCAUACCAGCAAAGUGGCGCGAUGGGAGUGCCAAAUUUUCGAAUUUCUCGUCGUGUGGCGGUGGUCCGUCGGGGUUUUUCCUAAGAUGGGGUCUGGAGGGGCCAGGGUUCUCCUAACGUGGCGGGUGACGGGUGGGGAUGGCGCAAGCAGUGGCUAGGAAGGUAGGGACAGUUUGGGAAAUUUUUCAGGGGUGAUUAAAUGUACUAGAGCUAAUAGUUAGUUACUAAAAUUAGUUAAGGACAUUCAACCAGCCCAUCUAAUAGUUAGCUAGCUAAUUCCACUAGCAAUUUUAGACAAGUAACUGUUAGCUCUAGUGCAUUUAAACACCCCCUAGCUCUAAGAUAGCAUUGUGGUAUUUGAGUAUAUCAUAAGGGUAUGUGCUUUUGUUGGAACAGUCGCCUGAAAUGAUUACUAGCCAGAUUGCUUGUAUAGUUUAUAUAAGUUUUGAUCAGCUGGAACAAUUUCAUGGUAGAAUACUGAAGAAACAAACAAGUUCUAAUAUUUUCGACUAAAAUGUGUUUGGAAAUACAUCUAAAAGCUCUAUAUUUUAAAUCAUGGUUUCACUAAUAUUACAAUAUUUUUUUUAAUAGUAUUCACGUGAUAUUAAAAGUUUCCUCUGUUAUAUGCCUUCCCCCUUAUUCUUUCCUCUAUAUUUUAAUUUUAUGCUACAUUAUUUGAUUGAUUGAUUUACUAUUUCUACAUAUUCCAUAGCUUUUGUUUUUUUUAUUUUCACAAACAUUUAACAUAAACCGUAUGAACUUAUAAUUUAUUCUCUUAUAUCUCGAAUAUCAUUCUUAUAAACGAGCGAUAUUUUUACAAAGGAGAAACAUUGUUUUUCUAAACCUAGAACAACGUGUACACUCAAUAAAUGAAAAAAACAGUCUACCUUCAUGAUGUAAAUGUUCUUUAAUAAAAUUCUAUCUAAAUAGUAUAUAUCCAUGUGGGGUUUUGUAUCCAAGAAUUUAUUGCGAGAAACAUGAUGGUAUGCUUGUUAUUUAAUUUGAAUGCUCGAUUUAGCAGCCCUGUUUUUUUUUUAAAAAAAAAAUCCAUGCAAAUGCUUUUCUGAAACAAGCGUGUUUUUGUGGAGCAUGCCCGCAGAAGGGCAGGCCUUAAUAAAACAACAAAAGCCGCAAAGCAGUUCAAACUAGUGGGCCUAUAAUUACACAAAUCAGCCCACUUAGAACAGCCCACGCGGCCGCAAUAGAGUUGCUACCGUCCGAAAAUUAAUCUACGGGCGGACACUUAGGGCUGUUUGGUUUCUAGGGACUAAUUUUUAGUCCCUCAUUUUAUUCUAUUUUAGUCCCUAAAUUACUAAAUAUAGAAACUAAAACUCUAUUUUAGUUUCCCUAUUUAACAAUUUAUAAAUUAAAAUGGAAUAAAGUGGAGGGACUAAAGUUUAGUCCCUAUAAACCAAACACCCCCUUAGGCCGUCAGUCAGGCGCAGAAUAACAGCUCCUAGAUGUUCCUGCCCUGUCAUCCUUUCUAAUAAUCAUGAAUGUCCACAGUCGAUGAUGUGCCCUUGAUCCUGGAAGGAACGCGUCGACAGUUGUUUGGCUGACCGACCUUGAGCAAUCACAGGAGAAUCUCCCCUGUGCAGAUGCAUUGAUGCAAUCGUCACUCCGGGAGUGAUUAACAAACACUGUACCUAAGUACUGACAAAACGAGGCAUCAAGGUACGAGGCGAUGAGCGGAUGACCGGUGGUCCCACGUCGGCGUGCAUCACACUCGAGACCGCACCAUGGCCGGGUUUCGGGCGUCCGCGCCGGCCCAGCCCAACCACCAGCAGGCAGCAGCCGACAACUGGAUCUGUGAUGGGCUGAUGGUGAUCCCCAAUUCCCCAUCCACCGGGGCCGUGCAGUCGCUGCGUGGAAAACUCGCCCGGACCGGGGGCCCUCGCAGAGCGGCAUGGUAUUCCAUGAUUCUAUCCUAGGUCCAACGGAUAAUUUUUUCGCAAUAGCGGUUUUCGCUAUAUUUAUCGUUUUCGCUGUUGCGCGAGAUUCGAAAACCGCUACGAAUUUUAUGUAUUUCUAUUUAAAAUUUUAAAAAUAUAUAAAAGUCAAAUUUUGAUCAAUAAAACGGUUUUGAAAUCUGCCAACGAAAAAUUGAUGUGGCUCUAAUCCGGCUAUGGCUUCUACACUAUUUUGUUUAUGUGGAUUACAGAUGCAGCAGUUCGAACAGUUACAGUAGCUACGAGCUGCCAGCCAGCCGAACCAAUAUAUCUUUCCGUGUGUUAAUUCAAACUUUUCCGGAUUGUUUUAGUCAGGACAGGUAAUGUUUCAUAAAGCACUCAAGAUUUUUCUGUAUGUUAAUUCGAGGGCUUCCAACACCUCAUAGGAGUAGAUGUAUCUAGUGGUUUAGAUGACUAAUUUCAAUUGUUUUCUUUACAACUUAGAUUAUUUCUCUAAUAUUCUCCUCCUAUAUCCUACUUCUCCUUCACACCAGCGCUCUCUCUCCCCCUAUUUACUCACGUCCCACAACGGUUUCAUUUAAAUUCUCCCUCUAUACCCCACAUACCUAUAUAAUAUCAUUUCCAUUUCAACAAACAUAACUACCUCUAUUUCAUUUCCCCUUUUUCUUGCAAAUGUAAAAACCAAUAAAUUAUAAUUCUACAUUACUUAGUAAUGGCUCAAUAGCAAAUGUCACCUGGACAAUAAAACCAUCAAAGCUACUAGAGCUUUAUGUUGUAAUUUCAUGAGAUCAAAUAGAAUACUAAAUAAAUUUAUGACAUGCUAGAGAAGACAAGUGAUGUUGGUGUGUAGGGGGCUCUUCAUCAAUGUGUGAGACUGUCUACAACGGUUUCUCUUAAUAUCCUCUUUUAUAUCCCACUUUUGUGCCACGUCCCUAAGAUUCCACCCACUAUUUUUAUCUCGCAUAAUGGUUUCCUCUAAAUUCUUCCCCUAUACCCACUACCACCAUAUACUAUAAUUUUCCAUAUCUAUUCACCUUAUAGUAACAUUUUUUUACCGACCAACAAACACAAUUGUGCACAUAGAACGAGGGAAGGGGUUGUCUGUCGUUUCACCAGAUCUAGCGCUUCCCUGAUUCCUCCCCUUCAACUGUAGCUCAUGGGGGUCUAUUGCAGCGCAAGGGACACACUAUAUUGCUACUGUCGUAGGGAGAGGAGAAGCGUCGUGCGCUGCAGAUAGUCUUAGGAACAUAAGUGUAUGUAUAACUUGGCACCUUCGAUAACCUUAGCCCCUUCCUAACAGAACCCAAAUAUAGUUUCCUGUAGGAAACAGACUCUGGCAGUAAAUACAUAACGCAUUGACCACCAAAAUUACCUAUUCUAUAAAGUUGUUAAAAUAUAUAAUAAACUUCACUUUCUCUCAUCAUGAUGGUAUAAAACAUAUAUGGAGCGUCUAAUUUAAAGUUUGGAUAAAGGAGUUACGCCUCUAGAAGGCUUUCUCUCUCUCGUGCAAGUUGAAAACUCUAACCCCUGUCAAAACUUCUGGCUUUCGAUCAGAAGUUCCUAUCUCAUGUUAACCAUUGAUUUUCGCAAGUCCAAAUCCUAUAGAACCCAAACUCGAUUGCAAUUGCUCCAAACUCAUAGAAAAAUGGAAAUGUGUCUUGGGAGGGUUUCCUACUAGGAUAAUACCAUCUUCAUGUCUAUAUAUCGGAACAUCAUGGACGAUUGAGUUAAUACAGUAUCAAAAUGAACAAAACCAAUCUUCCACCGCUUCUAACCUGCAUGUUGUUGUCCUCUCUUUUGCCCUUCUAACCUGCAUGUUGUUGUCCAUCGCUUUAUUAUACAAUCAAAGAUGGCGUCGUAAGCUUGUCGAUCGACCUAGGGCCACCCAAUGACAUCCUUGCCUAGAUGAGGUCCCUCUCAGCCGAGAACUUUUACAGUUCCUUUGCUAGUUUGCCCAAGAAUGUAAUCGUUUUUUAUCACAAAAGCUUGAUUAGUUAUCUCUUGGUGGUUUACUCGUAAACCUUACUGCUUGUCACAUCUUUGUGUUAACAUGCUUUUAGUGUCUCUACUAGAAAGGGUUGCUUCAUCUUUGCUUUGUGGCUAAAUCUAAUCUGCCCUAGUCAUAUUCUUCACUGAUAUAUCUUCUUGUGCUUGUCAUCACCAUUGCAUCUACCGUAAAAGACCGAUCAUAUAUGGUUUUAACCACUUGGGAUCUUGUUUGCUCAACAUGAUGCUAUAAAAACUAGGAAGCUGGUUAAGUUUAUUGCUCAUGGGGUAUCAAGGUAUAACACUCAUAAUCAGUCAAAAAACGGUUACUCUUGUCUGUUUUUUGUACUAGUCUCGAUUCCAAUUAUUCUAGACUCGUGGCGAACUUAAAUAUUGCAUCUUGAGAGGGUUUUCUAUUGAUAUAAAACCACUCACCUCUAUAUAUUGGAGGACUAUGACAGACCAAGUUGAUUCAAUAUCCAAUUGGGAAAAAAAAAUCAGUCGAACACCUUUUGUUUUGCUCAUGCAAUUGUUUUUUUAAACGAACAAGGCAGGAGAGCUGCCGAUUAUAUUAAUAAGGUAGAAGUGAUCCGGAUCGGAGUAAACAACAAACAACAGGCGGUUGGAUUGGGACAUUAACACGCCGACACCAUACAACUUAACUCGUCGGUUGGAUUGAGGCAUCAACACGACACCACACUCACCGCCGACACAGAGUGGCCAAACAAACACAGGCAGCGGUAACCCCACACGAGAGUAUAUAAAACUGCUAAGGGUCAUCGUUGUCAAGCAAGGAUGCAGAGCAUCCAGCAACUACGACUUCCCAAAGCAGCCGACAGACGAACCAAACGAAAAGGAGACAGACAGCCGGUAGAUUCAAAGGUCAAGGAUCGCACCCUCAACUUGUCGUUCGACCAAGGGCGACACGUUGACGACGUUCUUGUCUCGACGGGUCCCUUCUAGCCAAGAGCUUUGAUGGUUUUUUAUGCAAGUUUGCUCAGCGGUUGCUUAUCCUUUAUAGUUUGCUUGUAAACCUUGUUCUUCUUCACGGUAAAAAUGUGUUGAUGAUGCAUUAUAUAUAUUUUUUUGUUUGUAGCGACCUAAACGAUUUAUAUCUAGCUAGUAGCUAGCUAGCAUGUGAUUCACCAUUUGUGUUAACACAAACGGAGACCAGGGGCAUGAGUCUGUGUGACAUCACCCUUCGGUACUAGUACUGAUUUUGUCGUUUCCUAGAAGACUUGACAUCGGUCGUUGGAAUACUACCAGUGACCCAGAAACAGGGGCAUUACGUUUCACGUCAACGGUCAAGGCAUUACGGCCGUACUGACCACUAGUAGUUCACUACGUACAUCGCUAAUUCUCCAGUAGCCAACCUGAAUGGGCAGAGUCGUAUGGAAUUCAUGACCAUCUAGAAAAUCAGGUCCUGAACGCUUGAACCUGCCAAAAUCUGCAAUGUCUAGGUUGACUACAACUUGCGUAAUUGAACGUGUCAAAGAGCGAGAGCUGGAUAUAAGGGGUGUUUGGUUAGAGGGACUAAAGAUUAGUCUCUAGUUUUUAAGUCUCAUUUAGUCUCUUUUUUUUGCCAAUUACUAGGACUAAAAUAUGGACUAAAACGAUUUAGUCUUUAGUCUUUCAUAUAGGUGCUAAAAGAGACUAAAAGCCCACAAUUACUCUGUUGGUCUUACCUUCCCUAUGUAAUAUUCGGUUGUGAGAGCAUGUUUGUAUGGACAACUAAUAUUGUGAGUGUAUUAUAAGAGCAUUUGAGUCUUUGAACAGUGUAUUUAAUGAUUUUAGAAUCUGUUUAGUCUCUAGAACCAAACAAGUAGGGACUAAAUUUAGUCUUAGGACUAAAAUUUAGUCUAGCAUAAUUGAAACCAAACAUGACCUAAAUACAUCGUCAAUUCUGUACUACCAGCUAUUCUCUCGCUUCUUUUAUGCAUAUCACAUUAAUAUAUUAAUGAUCAUAUUAUGACAUAAAUCAUAAAACAUAUUAUAAAAAAAUCGGUCAUAAAAGAACCUUAAGACGUAAAUAUUGUGACAUAAAUCUAUACAUGUUUUUUCGCCAAAACUAAUAGUUAAAAGUUAUCAAUAUUUGGAUUAACACAAAGCUGAUACGCCAUCUACUGUGAUAAAAAAAUUGAGGGAGUAGCAGAGAGGGCAGGAAGCGGCAAUGCGAGGGAAACAAGAAAUUGCCGACUUGCCAGCGAAACUCUGACGGAGAUGGUUAUGCUUUUAAAAAGACACUAGCUAAGCUAGCAAUGGAAAAACAUGACUUGAGAGCAGCACACUACUAGUAAUCUCCCUCUCUCUCUCUCCACUUGUAUAUGCAGGUCAGUGCGUGAUUGGUCAGCACGAUCGGGCCCCUUCCACACCGACUCCGACGUGGAAGGUCAGCAAAAAGAAUCAGCGGCGGCGGCGGCCGGCCCCGCGCGCUUUUUAAUUUUGUACUCCCGUCCCUUGCCGUCUGAAGCUGACGUCAACCUUGCACCGUUCGGCGCACCGCACGUUCGACGGACGGGAUUCUACAACUCUCAAUCGACGGCCGAGAAGAAGCCACAUGCAAAUGCAAGCAUUGGAUCUAUCUAUCUAUCUAUCUCCCUCCAGUGCAGUAAAGGUAGUCGUUUAGGACAUGAUUGUGCAUACCAAGGAGUGAUUAAUUAUCAUAGAGUUUUCCCUGUUUGCCCCUAUUAAAUAGGUAUAUGGGUGCAUUAACGUCACUAAAACAAGCAGGCUUGAUUGGUUGUUGCAGCAGCUCCAAGGCAUUCUAGAUUGGAGGUUUAAGUUCGAUUCCUCUUAAAUGCAUCUUUUUUUGUGCAAUUACUAGGGGCAACAACGUCCAAAUCCCAGACCCACGCGUGCUAUGACUUCUUUUUGUGCACGCUCGGUCACGCGCAGGAUGACUUCUUUUACUGCACCGGAGGAGCUAGCUAGCUACUCCGUAGAAGUACGCGCAGUACGGCAGUAGGUUGUGGUGCGAAACCAGACUUUUCUUUUGGUUCAGACUAGAAGACUGCCGCACAUAUUUCAUCUCCGUUAAUUAAGUAGAGUCUUAUUCUCAGGUUUAGAGAAAUUAAACGUUUAUAAAAAUUAUGAGAUAAUAAAAUAUGACAAAAGCUAUACCAAAAAUAGGUUCACGUAAGAAAGUACGUAUUGGUUUGCGUAGGAAUGCCCGUUUUAGUUUACGGAAGAGUGCACGUAGAAUAACAAAAGGGAUUAUUCAUGUUCAAGCUAGUUUCAACAAUACCAUUAUAACCGUUACAGACCCACAAGGUCGGGUCGUUUUCUGGUCCUCCGCAGGUACUUGUGGAUUCAAAAGCUCAAGAAAAGCAUCACCCUAUGCUGGUCAAAGAACAGCAGUAGAUGCUAUUCGUACAGUGGGUUUGCAACGAGCAGAAGUUAUGGUAAAAGGUGCUGGUAGCGGAAGAGAUGCCGCAUUACGAGCCAUUGCUAAAAGUGGUGUACGGUUAAGUUGUAUACGCGAUGUAACACCUAUGCCGCAUAAUGGAUGUCGACCUCCUAAAAAAAGACGUCUGUAAAAAAAAUGAAACCGCUUUCAAGAGAAAUAAACGAUUCAAUGAUCAAAUAAUACUAGUCUGUUAUGGUUCGAGAAGAGAUAACAGGAUCCACUCAAACACUAGAGUGGAAGUGUGUUGAAUCAAGAGUAGAUAGUAAACGUCUUUAUUAUGGUCGUUUCAUUCUGUCUCCGCUUAGAAAAGGUCAAGCGGAUACUGUCGGUAUUGCCUUGCGAAGAGCUUUACUUGGAGAAAUAGAAGGAACAUGUAUCACACGCGCCAAAUUUGGGAACGUGCCACAUGAAUAUUCCACAAUAGUAGGUAUUGAAGAAUCCAUACAAGAAAUUUUACUAAAUUUGAAAGAAAUUGUAUUGAGAAGUAAUCUCUAUGGAGUUAGAGACGCAUCAAUUUGCGUCAAAGGUCCUAGAUACAUAACCGCUCAAGAUAUAAUCUUACCGCCUUCCGUAGAAAUCGUUGAUACGACACAACCUAUAGCUAACUUGAGAGAACCCGUUGAUUUCUGUAUUGAGUUACAGAUCAAGAGAGAUCGCGCAUAUCAUACGGAACUCAGAAAGAACUCUCAAGAUGGAAGUUAUCCUAUAGAUGCUGUAUUCAUGCCUGUUCGAAAUGUGAAUUAUAGUAUUUUUUCUUGUGGGAAUGGAAAUGAAAAACACGAGAUACUUUUUUUAGAAAUAUGGAUGAAUGGAAGUUUAACUCCUAAAGAAGCGCUUUAUGAAGCUUCUCGUAAUUUGAUUGAUUUAUUUCUUCCUUUUCUACACACAGAGGAAGAGGGCACUAGUUUCGAAGAAAAUAAAAACAGGUUAACUCCACCCCUUUUAACCUUUCAAAAAAGAUUCACUAAUCUAAAGAAAAACAAAAAAGGAAUUCCAUUGAAUUGUAUUUUUAUUGAUCAAUUAGAAUUGCCUUCUAGAACGUAUAAUUGUCUCAAAAGGGCCAAUAUACAUACACUAUUGGACCUUUUGAGUAAGACUGAAGAAGAUCUUAUGCAAAUUAAUAGUUUUCGUAUGGAAGAUGGAAAACUGAUAUGGGACACUCUAGAGAAGCAUCUCCCAAUUGAUUUACCUAAGAACAAGUUCUCGCUUUAAAUCAUUGCAAUUUUUUCCUCUUCUUCUUUUUUGAGUUAGAAUAAAAAGAAAAAAGAAAGCAAUUUGGCAUCUUUGGCAUAAUCUAUAUUUUCGCGAAAUGGAUCAUAAUAAAAUAGAUUUUAGGUAUCUAGGGAAGAUUCACUUGGAAGUAACUAUUUCCUAGAUACCCAUGCAGGGGACUUCGCGGUGGAAUGAAUCAACUCGAAAAAUCCCUAAACUAAAAAAGACCUAAAGUUAAGGAUUUAUCAAUGGGUAAUGUUGCUCCAAUACCUAACCAAAGAGCUACUGCAGUACCGAUUAAAAAAACGGUCGUAGCUACUGGGCGACGAAAUGGAUUUUGGAAUUUAUUGACAUUCUCUAGAAAGGGUACUGUCAAUAAGCCCGUUGGCACAGAAACCAUUAAGAGAACGCCCAAUAACUUAUUGGGUACUGUACGGAGUAUUUGAAAUACGGGAAAGAAGUACCACUCGGGUAAUAUUUCCAAAGGAGUUGCAAACGGAUCCGCCGGUUCACCAAUCAUUGACGGCUCUAGAACCGCUAAACCUACAUUACACGCAAUAGUACCUAGAAUUACUACUGGAAAAAUGUAUAAAAGAUCGUUGGGCCACGCGGGUUCCCCAUAAUAAUUAUGUCCCAUCCCUUUAGCUAAUUUUGCUCUUAAUACAGGAUCAUUUAAGUCAGGUUUCUUUGUUAUUGGGAUAGGUGAAUUCUUUAGGAUCCAUCCCCCAAAGGAACCGGACAUGAGAAUUUUUCAUCAUCCGGCUCGAGCAAGAAUGAAAGAAAUAAGACCGUGGAGGAUCCACAAUAGAAUAGGGGUAUAUAAUGACUCAAUGACUCAAGGUAAGAAAAACUUUAUCAAAUUAUCUUUUCCGAAGUUGCGCCUAUAACUACUCAUUGAAAAGAAUCCUAUUCUUAUGCUUAAAUGCUCAAUAUCCAAGUGGGCUUACAAAUUUGAUCAUGAUCAAUUGCUUUGUGGAUUGUCUCUUGAUUAGUUGUUGUUUAUCCCCUCGAUAUCGCAAGUUUCUUAUGUCCAAACAAAGUAUUUACUUGUUACUAAUAAAAAAUCAAAAAGUUUAGCCUGCGUUCUUCCUUAGAUCCCUUCUUUUACUCCGAUAGUAUUGCGGAUCAAAAUCGAUGCAAAGAAAAUGAAUGCAUUUCCAUACUAUAAUAAAAAGUAAGUGUAAUAAAAAUUGAAUUGGAUCAUAUCACAUGACUUAUUCCAUUUAUACUCUAUAGGAUCUUACGGAGCCUGUUCAUGGAUGACAUGGUUGGUGGGGUAUGAUCAUAGAAAAUAUUCUCCUCGAGUGAACCAGCCUAUCCUUCCUAGAUAGGGGACUUACGUGUUGAUUGGAUGCGGAGACACCUUUGGUCGUGAAUUCUAAUGUGGCAGAUCCAAUUCUCUAUCUGCAUGGCCAAAUUAAUAAUUCAAGUCACACACUCCCAUAAUCCGCCUUAUUUUCUUUCGUAAAAUUCACUUCAACUAUUUGUAUAAAAAUACUUCGAAGUUGAAGAGAAGUAUCCAAAUGACAUGUCUUAUUUUACAAUAACCCAUGUUUGUAGCAAUGAAAUACCAUAACCUACCCGAUAUGAUAUAUGAGAAUUAGAAUUCUCUAUGCUAUGCCUUCCCUAUAACGGACCCGAAAUACCUUGCUUACGUACCAUUGGAAAGUGCAUUAACAUAAAUACGGCAGUAAGCAGAGGUAGUAUAAAGGUAUGUAAACUAUAAAAACGAGUCAAAGUGGAUUGGCCCACACUAGCACUUCCACGUAAUAAUUCCACUAAAGGGGACCCUAUUACCGGAAUAGCUUCGGGUACACCUGUAACAAUUUUGACUGCCCAAUAACCAAUUUGAUCCCAAGGCAAAGAAUAACCAGUUACACCAAAUGAUGCAGUCAAUACAG